GUUUAUAACCACAGCUUCUCGUCGUCUCAGAGCCCCGCCCUCUAUCUCACUGUUGGAGACUUGGUGACAAAUCUGAUCAUCAGGGUGGUGCUGGUCCACUUCAUCCUGAUCAUGGGGACCAUCUCCCUCUACUUCUACUGUCGGGCCAGUAGGGGGCGCUGCAGACUGAAGGCAUGCAACACAGGAUGAGAUGCACCACCACAGCAACCACCACGACCACAGCAACGUCAACGUCUACAUCCACGUCCAUCCUGCAGAAUAGUUGUGUGUGUUGUUUGUGUCCCAGUCCCAGUUCUUUUCCUGGAGUCCUGGUCCGGUCUGAAUGUUCAGUGUGUUUGUGUUUCAGUGGUUCUGGUUCUUCUUGGACUUGGACUCAGACCUGUUCAGUCCUGACUCAAAGGACAGCAGAGGAACUGUUCAGCACUUUGAUUCACGCUCACACAUGAACUCUGCUCUGACAGCAGCUGCAAACACUUGGAAAUCCUUCAUAUGGAUGAAUUCACCACUUUUCCUGGGCUGUUCCUGUAGUUUGAAACCAGAGUUCUACUAGAGUUUGGAGUUUUUAUUCAGUCUGUCACUGUGCUUUUAUGUCUUUAUGUCAUUCUACGUGUUUGUGAGUUUGUCGUGUUUUUCUGUGUCAGUAUCAUCAGGGCCAGUUCUCGCAAUUUUGGCGCCCUAGACGAGAUAUGACCCCCCCCCCCAGAUACACACACACACAUGCACGCACACUCACUCACACACACACACACACACACAUAUAUAUAUAUAUAUAUAUAUAUAUAUAUAUGUAAAUGUACAUAUAUAUAUGGGGGGAGGGGUCACGAAGAGGAGAUGCGUGAAGCAGCCAGCAGUAAACCAGAUAGAAUCAUAUAUAAACCAGAUAGAAACAUAUAUAAAAAAGCUUAGCAGCAGUAAACCAGAUAGAAACAUUUAUAAACCAGACAGAAACAUA